AAAGACUUAGUCCUAACCUUACUGUUAACUCUCGCUAAACAUAUACAUGCAAGUAUCUGCGUUCCAGUGUAAAUGCCCUUAACGUCUUCUUUCCCCAGACAAAAGGAGCAGGUAUCAGGCACACUCUUCAUCGUAGCCCAAAACACCUUGCUUAGCCACACCCCCACGGGUACUCAGCAGUAAUUAACAUUAAGCAAUAAGUGUAAACUUGACUUAAUUAUAGCGGCCAGAGGGUUGGUAAAUCUUGUGCCAGCCACCGCGGUCACACAAGAAACCCAAGCUAACAGUGACCGGCGUAAAGUGUGGUAACAUGUUAUCGAAAUAACUAAGACCAAAACACAACUAAGCUGUCAUAAGCCUAAGAUGCACUUAAACCCCCCCAUAAAAAUGAUCUUAGUACCUACGACCAAUUUAAAUCCACGAAAGCUAAGACACAAACUGGGAUUAGAUACCCCACUAUGCUUAGCCCUAAAUCCUGGUGCUUGCAUUACCCAAGUACCCGCCCGAGAACUACGAGCACAAACGCUUAAAACUCUAAGGACUUGGCGGUGCCCUAAACCCACCUAGAGGAGCCUGUUCUAUAAUCGAUAACCCACGAUACACCCAACCAUCUCUUGCCAACACAGCCUACAUACCGCCGUCGCCAGCCCGCCUAAAAUGAAAGAACAACAGCGAGCACAACAGCUACCCCAGCUAACAAGACAGGUCAAGGUAUAGCCCACGAGAUGGAAGAAAUGGGCUACAUUUUCUAAAAUAGAAUACUACGAAAAAGGGUAUGAAAUCCCCCUUAGAAGGAGGAUUUAGCAGUAAAACAGAAUAAGAAAGUCUAUUUUAAGCCGGCCCUAGGGCACGUACAUACCGCCCGUCACCCUCCUCACAAGCUGUAUAACACUCCAUACAUAAUAAACCACUAAGCUGAAGAUGAGGUAAGUCGUAACAAGGUAAGUGUACCGGAAGGUGCACUUAGUAUAC
rnacentral:ncRNA from 1 species